rnacentral:misc_RNA from 1 species
GUUGAAUUUAACGGUGGUCAUUAUCGAUCCUAUCCGAUCCGAUGAUUGAAUCAUCUGAAAAAUGGUAGAAAAGUUCGUUGCCAUUUAUUUCUCUCUCCUCUUUUUCUCUCUGCAUCUCCUUCCUCCAGCACCAUUUGAGGCGAGGUUGAUCCAUUUGGAAAGCUUGUUUCACUGGGAGUCCAAUGCCACCAAGAAUGCCUCCAUCCAUUGUCUAAAUCCACUGGAAUCACGCUUGGAAGUUCACGGCAUAAUUCCUUCUCUCUCCCCCAAAAUUGCAUCGGAUCUUCGCUCGGAUGGGAUGUUGUAGCUCGCUGUUUGGGGUCCUAGGUGGCUGCCGAUGUGCACUGGUCAAGUUGUUAUAUCGCCGAUCGAUGGGUUGUUAGCUAACCAAGAGGGAGUAGUGAGAGUUUUUUUUGGGGGGGGG